GACGGAGGGGGCAAGCGUUGUCCGGAUUCAUUGGGCGUAAAGAGCGUGUAGGCGGCCAGGUAGGUCGGUUGUGAAAACUGGAGGCUCAACCUUCAGAGGUCGACCGAAACCAUCUGGCUAGAGUCCGGGAGAGGAGAGUGGAAUUCCUGGUGUAGCGGUGAAAUGCGCAGAUAUCAGGAAGAACACCCGUGGCGAAAGCGGCUCUCUGGAACGGUACUGACGCUGAGACGCGAAAGCGUGGGGAGCGAACAGG
rnacentral:rRNA from 1 species